UACGGGGGGAGCAAGCGUUGUUCGGAUUUACUGGGCGUAAAGGGCGCGUAGGCGGCGUGACAAGUCACUUGUGAAACCUCCGGGCUUAACCCGGAGCGGCCAAGUGAUACUGUCGUGCUAGAGUGCGGAAGGGGCUACUGGAAUUCUCGGUGUAGCGGUGAAAUGCGUAGAUAUCGAGAGGAACACCUGCGGCGAAGGCGGGUCUCUGGGCCGAUACUGACGCUGAGGAGCGAAAGCGUGGGGAGCGAACAGG
rnacentral:rRNA from 1 species